UACGGAGGGGGGCUAGCGUUGUUCGGAAUUACUGGGCGUAAAGCGCACGUAGGCGGCUUUGUAAGUUAGAGGUGAAAGCCCAGGGCUUAACCCUGGAAUUGCCUUUAAGACUGCAUCGCUAGAAUCGUGGAGAGGUGAGUGGAAUUCCGAGUGUAGAGGUGAAAUUCGUAGAUAUUCGGAAGAACACCAGUGGCGAGGGCGACUCACUGGACACGUAUUGACGCUGAGGUGCGAAAGCGUGGGGAGCAAACAGG
rnacentral:rRNA from 1 species